CUGCGAGAGACAGAGAAGUAACUCGUUUCCCGAAGCAGAGGCUCUGUCCCAGCGACUGACCACCGCACGGACAAUGAACUCCAGAGGCCGCCACCGCGGACACCUGCCGCUGCCCCCGACAAAGGUUGGAAGGCACUUACCCAAGCACCCUGCAGUCAGCCACCUCUCCAUGAGUCCGGAAUGUCAAGAUAAUUCACUGCUAAAAAGGGAUGAACAAAACCAUGAACUUCAUACUCCUCCUCUGAAUAGUAACUUCUCUGGAUAUAACCAAAAGAAACUUCAGGAGGAAAAUACUAAAUUAAAGCAUGAACUAGAAGAUUUAAGAAGUCAGUAUGCCCAGCUUAUAGAAGAAGGGAAGAGUGAAUGUUUUGAUGAAAGACGUGUCCGUCUUUUGAAGGCACAAGUAAUGCAGCUGGAGAGGCAGGUGGUCCUACUUACAGAAGGAUUAAGUUCUCGAGCAGUCCUUAUGCUGGAAUUAAAGAAUUCCCUAGAGUCUCUUAGUGAGAAACUCGGGUCUUUACUUGACUUUGAAAACCAUUCCUCUGAAGUACCAGUUGCCCGAGCUGAACUUAUACAAAUGAUUGAAAUAUGUCAGGCCCUGAGAAACAGGCUGCAAAGAAACCAUCAAGCAACUGGUAUGGAUAAUCUUGCAUUAUCGUGGAUGAUAUCAGGAAGAAACCUAGAAAAACAACCUAUGACCCUCAUAGACCUUUGCUAUGGGAAGAUAGAAAACGUAAACCUACGAUAUCUGAGUGCUCUUGAAGAAAAACUCAGCAAGUUGUUCAAACACCUGCUUGCCAUGAGGCAAACACUGAGCUUCAUACUUGCCCCAGGACAGGAGUCCUGUGAGAAAGCUCAUCAGAUACUGCCAACUGCUUUUUAUGCUAGAUUGCUAAAUCAUGUGACUAGAUGUCAUCAAUCUCUGGAGGAAUGCUGCAGUGACUUACUUGUUUUGACACUUAUUGUACCAUCUGCACCUUGGGUAAAACUGGAGUACUCCUUGAGCCAAUAAUUCACGGUGGAGAAUGUGCUUGCAAUAUUGCCUGCAUUUCCCAAGGGGGCCCCUCAGCAACGGGCCAAAAGGGCUGCAGAAGCCCUGGUGAAAGCUUCUAAUUAUUCCAGACUAAUGGCAAUACAACAGAUACAUGCUCUGCAAGCUGAACUCAAUUUCCAUAAAAGCCUAUACAACCUCCAAGUUAAGUACACUGAAGCUGUUUUUGAGGGGAUAAAGCAAGCCUACCACACUUUUCAAGAGAACGUUGUGUCAGUUCUAUGUUCACCGCUACAAGAUGUUCUUUCUUCUUACAUAAACCUUAAAGCGGAAGCUUCAGAGGUUGCUUUAAGGGACUUUCUCACUGCUUUUAAAAACAAUGCCGAACAGAUCCAAGAUGCAGUUGACACUUUGACUCCAUCAAAGAAUCAGCAGCACGAAGGUGAUGAGGCCCUGUCAAGGUUUGGAAAAGAGUUCUUCUUCUCUUUGGAGAAUUCACUCAAAGACUGUGGGGAACAACGGGAUAAAGCAGCCAGUGAAAUGGAAACUUUACAAACUGAACUGGCUCUAGCCUUUGAAAACCUUCAGAGCUUAAGAAAGGAACGAAAAAAGAAGAAAACAGAAUCCAUUCCUCAUUUUACAAAGUCUGAAGUGAGGGAGAGUGCAGGAGGAGGAGCUGCAAGCAGCUUGGAUAAGAUUUCAAAAGAUAACCCAGUGCCAGAUUCAACACCCCUGCCUCCUCCACACAGUGAGAGACCUUUGCCCAAACAUGUGUCUGCGAUGGCAGAAGCAUCCAGCAACUCAUCAUCCAGACUGCAGCAGCAGAGUUCUAAGGGGUUUUUCAUUCACCAGAAGGGGAAGAGCUCCCACAGGAGUAAGAGCAUGAAGACCACUGCAAGGCCACCUUGGCAAGAUUAACCAUCACUUUAUCUUUAAUAUCUUUUUCUUCAAAAAUGGUUUGAACUACUUUGUAAUAUUCUGUGUUAUGAUGAACUCCAGGGGCACAACUCUGCUAGGUGUUGGGAAAAGAAUAAGUCAGGGGGGUUGAGGGAACUCAACACCUUGUAAAUGGUGUUGGGAACCUCAUAGGAGGCCUGAUCAAAGCUCAUUGAAGUCAAUAACAAAAUUCCCAUCCAGGGGCUUUGGAUCAGGUCCUUAGUUCAUGCUAGAAUGCAGCAAACCAGAAGGAUAGAAGUAGAUGGCUGGUGUUAAACUAGAAUGAAUAGCUUUUGAAGAGGUAAUAUACACACUCAGCACAUGGACUGUACUAAUGUUAUGCUGGAUGUAUGUGCUGUUUCAUCACAGAUGUGUUUUUACACUUUAUGAAGGUUAUAGAAUGACUAAAAAAAAAUCGCUGGCACCAGGCUUGGUUUUGUUUCAUUACCAAAAGCACAUAGGGGACUUAACAGACCACAGCCAUCUGACAAAUGUUUAUAAAUUUGUUCUUCUUUGACUUGGCAUCUGUGUUGAAAGGAAAUCUCUCUAGAUUCCCAAGCUCAUGUGAAUGAUAAAUCUCUUGAAUGCCCCAAAUUACUACAUAUGCAAGGAGAAGAGAAUUGUGUUCAUAAUGUUUACUGAUAACAAAUGGUUUUGGAGAGCCUUACUUUACUGAGAAUGACAAUGUAAAUAAGUCAGAAUUGAGUGUGUAAUGUUCCUGUUUUUAAAAUUUGAUAUUAUAUUUUUAUUCUAAAUCACUUUUUUGUUAAUUCUAAAGAUUAUAAAGUUUUAUUUUCUGGUGAGUGAAAGAUUGAAGUUGCAGACAUAGUAUUUUUGUUGUAUUUCUGUUACUGUUCUUCCUUCCUUUCUCAUAGUACUAGUAAGAUAGGAAGGUCCAUUGGAGCAUUUAACUUUCCAAAGAGCCUGGAUGUUGGGAUGGGUGCAGACAGAAAUGCAAUAACUGAAAUAUAUUUGCUUGUGUCAUUUUUCUCUGUUCUACCAAAAGCAAGUGUUUUGCAAUGGUUACACCAACCACUUCAAGAGAACAGCUGUGAAUUCACAAGUGGGAUUAAUUUGGUGGCUGUAAUAGCGGUAACAGAGUAAACUUAGUCAAAAGACCAGCGUUUUGGGUUUGCUUUUUUUAUGUCUUGGUGCCAGUCAUAUGUCAGAAAGACAGGAAGCGAGAGCUUAUUAACUUGGACUGAUAUUUGCCUGUGGGGCCGACUGGUCAGCAGCCCUGGACCCCACCAUGUGGGGCUGGCCAGAGUGGCAGCCCAAGACCCCGCCAUGCAGGCAGCCCCAGACCCCACUGGACUCUGCCACAUGGGGCUGGCAGGGUGGCAGCCCGGAACCUGCCACUCUGGACCCCGACCCCGCUGUGCUGCACCAUGCCCUGCCUGGCCAGGCAGCCUGGACCUCAAGGCGCUGGGUGGCCAAGCAGCUGCUAACCCAGCCCCACAGCCUUUAGCACACAGCCUGCAUGUGACCCGUGGGCUGUGGGUUAAGAACUGCUGAUCUAGAGCCUCAGAGCCUACUGAGGAAAUCUCUGAACAGCAGGAGAUUGAGCCAAAAGAGGAGACCACAACACCAACUCAUUUUUCUUCCUUCUCUUCAGAUGAGGCCGUAAUGCCCCCUCCUCCAUCCAUGGCAGCCAAUUUAAGGUCUUUCAGGACCUUACAAAGAAGAUGGCAGAUUUAUUACAAAUCCCUCUUGAGUUGAGGGACACCCACCAUAAACUGCUGGACAUUCUACAUACUUCCUCCUCAAGGAUCGCCCACCCAAUUAAUGAGGUGCUUUUGGACCCAGUAAGAUUCAUAUGGCAAACAACAGCAUCGGCCGCACAGACGUGCAAAGAGGCCAACAAAAUGCAUUAUGCCCCCACCAAAGACUCAGGGAUCUUCUUCUCCCACUCUCCAUCUAAUUCCAUUGUGGUGGAUAAAAUGAACUCCUGUGGCCACCAGCACUGUUCAAAAUCCACCCCUUACUAUAGGGAUUGGGAGAGACUGGACUUGUUUGGGAGAAAGGUCUACUCUUCCCCGACUUUGCAAUUUCUUAUUGCAAACGACCAAGCACUAACGGCCAAAUACGAUUGCACAAAUUAUGCCAAGCUUAACAACUUUAUUGAUGAUACAGAGACCAACUUCAGGCCAUCAUACAGGAGGGGCAGUUGUGGCAAAAACAGAACGCCAAACUGCACUAGCUGCCACGGAUACUGCAGCCUGUUCAAUAUCCACAGUAGUCGUGAUGUGGUGAGUGACAUGGCUGUAUCUUUCGCGACUGCCAAAGGAGGUUCAGACGACUGUCAAGGAUCUCCCCUUCAAACUCUUUGCAGAUAAGACCAAUGCCAUGCUCCAUAAGACUUCAGAGCCACACUUCGGUCACCAGGGCUAGGCAAAAAAGGAAAUUUACUCCUCAGUCUUCCCAAAAGUCAUGUCCAACCCAGUACCCAUUACAGUGCUAUUAUGAGCCACAAUGGAAAAAAUCUAAAAUUCAAAGGUGUAAAUCAUCACGCCCUCAGUCUUCCACAUCACAACCUUCCACCUCAAAACUCCAAUUUUGACUCCUUGGUUGAGGCCUCAAGAAACUACUCCCCAUGACACCAGAUGCAACUUUCCAACCUCUCACAUCCCUUUGGAUAUUGUCUGGCUCUGUUUCAUCAGAAUUGGGAACACAUAACAUCUGACAGAUAGGUUUCGGAAAUUAUCUCUCAUGGGUAUUCUAUCCACUUCCCCACCCUCCCUCCCCAUCCCUCUUCAGGGACCCCUCUCAUGAGAUACUGUUACGACAGGAAAUAGAUCAUCUCCUAUCUCUAGGAGCCAUAGACACAUCUAUGCCUGCAUAUCUCUGAGGCAAAGGGGUUUUAUUCCUGAUAUUUCCUGAUCCCCAAGAAAAAGGGAGGUUGGAGACCCAUACUGGACCUCAGAGCACUGAACAAAUAUGAGAAGCCUCAAAAAUUCAAGAUGGUCACAUUAGCAGUGAUUAUUCCAUCCAUGGAACAGGGAGAUUGGUUCUCAGCCCUUGACUUUCAGGAUGCCUAUUUUCCACAUAUUGAUUGUACCAGCCCACAGACAAUUCCUCCUGUUUACCCUAGGUCAGGACUACUACCGGUACAGAGUACUCCCUUUUUGCCUCUCGUUAGCCCACACAGUAUUCUCCAAGGUCCUCUCCUUAGUAGCGGCACACUUAUGCACCCUGGAGAUCAUGAUCUACCCAUACUUGGACGACUAUCUCCUUAGGGCCCACUCUGAAGACACCCACAGGACAAUAAACUUGUUCACGAAGGUAGGACUGCAGGACUGCACCCAAGGGUGCCUGCUUGGGACAGGGAGCUAAAAUUCUACCUGCUAUAAGUCUUCAAACCCUCCCCCUUGACACCUAUACUCACAGGUGUCAGAUACAAAGUAAUGGCUGACACCAGACAAGUCUGUAGGGGGAAUUGGGGAUACAGGUCACUGCCUCACCACCCAGAAAACAUCAACAGGGAAAGGGUGUGUGCCAGGAGCUGCUUGUGGGUAGGGUGGGGAAAGUGAAACUUGCCAGUCACCUUACAAAACCACCCAGUUUUGUUACGGUUCACUUGAUGUUAUGUUCAAUCAAACCUGGAAUUCCCAAAGAACCUCAUGUGAUAAAGUGAUCUAUUUAUGCCAUGUGCACACAUUGAGGGAUUCAAGCUACUGGCAUCUGUAAGGUGCAUCAAAUAGAGGGACAUGACUGCAUGAAGGCCCAAUAUACCAGGCUGCAUCUUUGCCAGGGUAACCCAUCCCAGGGUAGGACUUCACCAGUGAAUGCUGGUCCCAGUGGAGUGGUGCCUUUGGUUUCUGCUGUGGUGUAGAUUACCUAGCACACAAUGGUCUAAGUCAUUUUUAGCAAGGACAUCCUACCUUGCUUAGUUUUGGCUGAUUUGGCUCACUUUAUUAUUUAACAAAAACAGUGGCUAAUCUGACCCCUCACUUUGUAUCUUCCUUUAUUUGUGACCUGCUCCUAGAUAAUUAUUUCAGACUCUGCAGAAACAAAAUGACAGCUUGUACUGAUUUACUUUAUGAAGUCAUAUUCAUUAUCAGAAGAGCUAGGAGAUAACUUAAAAUGAAGACAUACUUCAGAUGCUGAGCCAUAUUAAAAAACCUUCUGAAAUUAGGGUGAGGAGGGAACAUGGUCACAAAGAGCUGAUUUUUAAAACUGCACACAGAAUUCCAUGCCAUAUUUAUAUGCAUAAUUAUUGUAAUUUUUCACUCAGGUAGAUGUAAAUAACCAACUGAAUUCAUCAUAACACAUGUAUGCAUACAAAUACCUGAUUUGUGUGUGCAGUUGCCAGAAUUGUGCAUGCAAAUAAAAUCAGGCCUUAAAUCCUCAAGCUUUAUGGAUUUCUUUUACAGCUGUAAAUUUGUUGCCCAAGGUGAUGGGUGCAGAAUGAAAAAAUCCUGGUAUGAAAAUGCUGGAGAAUCAGAAACUCCUUUCCUCUGCCCACUCUCCGUUCAUAAAGAAGAAGUAAGAAACAGGGUCUGGGGCAGGAAUGAAUGGAAGACAUGGCUAUGAUGGU